rnacentral:tRNA from 3 species
GCGAAAGUGGCGGAAUUGGUAGACGCACCAGAUUUAGGUUCUGGCGCCGUAAGGUGUGGGGGUUCGAGUCCCCCCUUUCGCACCA